rnacentral:tRNA from 1 species
GGGCCGGUGGCGAAGCCUGGAAUCGCGCUCGCUUGGCAUGCGAGAGGGCGCGGGUUCAAAUCCCGCCCGGUCCACCA